rnacentral:rRNA from 1 species
CCUACGGGCGGCAGCAGUGGGGAAUAUUGGACAAUGGGCGAAAGCCUGAUCCAGCCAUGCCGCGUGUGUGAAGAAGGCCUUCGGGUUGUAAAGCACUUUCAGUGGGGAAGAAAGCCUUGGGGCUAAUACCCUCGAGGAAGGACAUCACCCACAGAAGAAGCACCGGCUAACUCCGUGGCCAGCAGCCGCGGUAAUACGGAGGGUGCGAGCGUUAAUCGGAAUUACUGGGCGUAAAGCGCGCGUAGGCGGUCUGAUAAGCCGGUUGUGAAAGCCCCGGGCUCAACCUGGGAACGGCAUCCGGAACUGUCAGGCUAGAGUGCAGGAGAGGAAGGUAGAAUUCCCGGUGUAGCGGUGAAAUGCGUAGAGAUCGGGAGGAAUACCAGUGGCGAAGGCGGUCUUCUGGACUGACACUGACGCUGAGGUGCGAAAGCGUGGGUAGCAAACAGGAUUAGAUACCCGAGUAGUC